rnacentral:rRNA from 1 species
UACGUAGGGUGCGAGCGUUAAUCGGAAUUACUGGGCGUAAAGGGUGCGCAGGCGGUUAUAUAAGACAGAUGUGAAAUCCCCGGGCUCAACCUGGGAACUGCGUUUGUGACUGUAUGACUAGAGUACGGUAGAGAGGGGUGGAAUUCCUGGUGUAGCAGUGAAAUGCGUAGAUAUCAGGAGGAACAUCGAUGGCGAAGGCAGCCCCUUGGACCUGUACUGACGCUCAUGCACGAAAGCGUGGGGAGCAAACAGGAUUAGAAACCC